AACGAACGCUGGCGGCAUGCCUAACACAUGCAAGUCGAACGAGACCUUCGGGUCUAGUGGCGCACGGGUGCGUAACGCGUGGGAAACUGCCCUUAGGUUCGGAAUAACUCCCCGCAAGGGGUGCUAAUACCGGAUAAUGUCUUCGGACCAAAGAUUUAUCGCCUUUGGAUGGGCCCGCGUUGGAUUAGCUGGUUGGUAGGGUAAAAGCCUACCAAGGCGACGAUCCAUAGCUGGUCUGAGAGGAUGAUCAGCCACACUGGGACUGAGACACGGCCCAGACUCCUACGGGAGGCAGCAGUGGGGAAUAUUGGACAAUGGGCGAAAGCCUGAUCCAGCAAUGCCGCGUGAGUGAUGAAGGCCUUAGGGUUGUAAAGCUCUUUUACCCGGGAUGAUAAUGACAGUACCGGGAGAAUAAGCUCCGGCUAACUCCGUG
rnacentral:rRNA from 1 species